rnacentral:misc_RNA from 1 species
GAUGAAGAACGUAGCGAAAUGCGAUAAGUAAUGUGAAUUGCAGAAUUCAGUGAAUCAUCGAAUCUUUGAACGCACAUUGCGCCCGCCAGUAUUCUGGCGGGCAUGCCUGUUCGAGCGUCAUUUCAACCACUCAGGCCCUGGUGCCUGGCGUCGGGGUUUCUUGCUUCGGUAAAAUCCCCUAGAAUCAGUGGCGGACCCGCCGCGGCUCCGAGCGUAGUAGUAAAAUAUCUCGCUAUGGAGGCCCGUGGGGGGAUUACCGGCCGUAAAACCUCUUCUUUACUGAAGAACUUCUCAAGGUUGACCUCGGAUCAGGUAGGAAUACCCGCUGAACUUAAGCAUAUCAAUAAGCGAGGA